UAGGCGACCCUGCCGACGGCCCCCGAAACUCUGUUUUUAUAGCAUUGGACUUCUGAAAAGAUAACUAAAUAAGUUAAAACUUUCAACAACGGAUCUCUUGGUUCUGGCAUCGAUGAAGAACGCAGCGAAAUGCGAUAAGUAAUGUGAAUUGCAGAAUUCAGUGAAUCAUCGAAUCUUUGAACGCACAUUGCGCCCACUAGUAUUCUGGUGGGCAUGCCUGUUCGAGCGUCAUUUCAACCCUUAAGCCCCCGUUGCUUAGUGUUGGGAGCCUACUGGAACUCUCCUGUAGCUCCCCAAAGUCAGUGGCGGAGCCGGUUCGCACUCCAGACGUAGUAGCUUUUACACAUCGCCUGUAGCUUGGACCCGGUCCCCUGCCGUAAAACACCCCCCAAUUUUAUAGGUUGACCUCGGAUCAGGUAGGAAUACCCGCUGAACUUAAGCAUAUCAAUAAGCGGAGGAAAAGAAACCAACAGGGAUUGCCCUAGUAACGGCGAGUGAAGCGGCAACAGCUCAAAUUUGAAAUCUGGCCCUCGGGUCCGAGUUGUAAUUUGUAGAGGAUGCUUUUGGCGCGGUGCCUUCCGAGUUCCCUGGAACGGGACGCCUUAGAGGGUGAGAGCCCCGUACGGUUGGACACCAAGCCUCUGUAAAGCUCCUUCGACGAGUCGAGUAGUUUGGGAAUGCUGCUCUAAAUGGGAGGUAAAUUUCUUCUAAAGCUAAAUAUU
rnacentral:rRNA from 1 species